rnacentral:rRNA from 1 species
AGAGUUUGAUCGUGGCUCAGAAUCAACGCUGGCGGCGUGCCUCAGACAUGCAAGUCGAACGAUUAAAGCUCCCUUCGGGGAGUGCAUAAAGUGGCGCACGGGUGAGUAACACGUAAGUAAUCUACCUUCGAGUGGGGAAUAACAGUCGGAAACGGCUGCUAAUACCGCAUAAUGCAGCGGCAUCGCAAGAUGACAGUUGUUAAAGAUUUAUCGCUUGAAGAGGAGCUUGCGGCAGAUUAGCUAGUUGGUAAGGUAAUGGCUUACCAAGGCUACGAUCUGUAACCGGUCUAAGAGGACGGUCGGUCACACUGACACUGAAUAACGGGUCAGACUCCUACGGGAGGCAGCAGUCGGGAAUUUUGGGCAAUGGGGGAAACCCUGACCCAGCAACGCCGCGUGAAGGAUGAAGUAUUUCGGUAUGUAAACUUCGAAAGAAUAGGAAGAAUUAAUGACGGUACUAUUUAUAAGGUCCGGCUAACUACGUGCCAGCAGCCGCCGCCGUAAC